rnacentral:misc_RNA from 1 species
UUUCACGUGUCAUGGAGAAUUGUCAUUAGGACGAUGGUCGAUAAGAUAACGAUUGAUCGCUUAUCCGAAACGUAAUGUCAACAUUUUGACUAGCGAUAUGUUAUUUUCGUCGAGAUUAAAAUCACUACGCUCGUUAAAAGACGGUAUUCUUCACUGUCCGUUAAAAAAUUGACGUCUGGUAUUUGAUGUACAGAAUUCUGCAAAUUUGUCGUUCAAUCCUCUGCAUUUUUAAUCCGGAAAUCCAUAUAAGUCGUUUGAUAAAAACUACGAGAAUCUGUAACUCGUACGUGUUAAAACAGUGCUUCAAGAAUCAUCCGGAAGUAAAGAGUUCCAAUGCACGUCUACCGGAAUCAGUUUUAACAUAAAACACAUUGAGACCUUAUCAUUUGAAAUUCGUGGAAGUAGGGAUUACAGAUUAGGCUGGUUGAGUUUCUCCUAACGCAAGUCAUCGUAAUCGAUCAAAACACACAUUGCACGUCGCGUGGGUUCGGUGUGAAGAGUAAAAAAAGGGGGGAGAAAAAAUGGGAAUCGUAAAAUCGUGUCGCCUGCAGUACCUCGCAAGGUGUCGUCAGACAGCAACGUAGCGAACGAAGGUCUGAUCGCAUGUCUCCGACCUUCGCCCAUACGCGACGCGGUAAAUAGUGAAUGUCAAUUGCUGUUUAUUUUCGUAAGCGGCUCGGGAACCAUCGCGGGUUUAUUUCUCUCACGUAUUUCACUGUCGUCGUUACACGUUCGCUUCCUGGUACGUAAGGAAGUAUCGGCUAAUCGCUGCCAGAAGUGCCGCUCCAAAACCGUCGAGACUCGACGAUCAGUCUCGCGGUGACUUGGGUGCCGAUCGGAAUUCCGUCGAUCAGGCAUGCCGAAGAAGUGGAUCCUGAAGAAGAAGAGGGGUUCCUGUAGGAACACGAUAACCAUAUAAAAUCGAAGAGAAAGAAGAAGAGAGAAUCUUUUCCACGAUGAGGGGUCCACGCGAUGUCAGGCUUAGUCUGGAGGAGUUUAUUCUGCCUACGGAUAAGCGGCUGCACGGCACGCGGUGCCGGAGCUACUCCCUGGCCGAUCCUUGCCAGAGCUGUCUGGGUCAACGAAACCUGAACGCGGCCCGAUUCACCCCUGCGUACCACUCGACGAGUGGUUCUAUCCUUCGGGAGCUGGGUCGGCGCGCCGUGGAGACGAUCCGGGAAGAGGAGGCGCAGAUAGACGCGGGUGAAUCGCCGCCGGCGGACCACUCCCUCUUCUUCGACAACCUCGAGCGUCUCAGGGACGUCGGUUAUGACAUCGAACGUCUGAAGAUCGCGAUGGAGGCGGCGGUGGAGGCGGGUGAAAUGGACGCACUGAUGGACCUCCAGAACGGCAUCAUCGUCGAGGGUCCGGACGGCACUCUCUUCCCCGACGCUGACGUCAAGUUUCGGAACAUCGCGUACCUCUGGGCCUGUUUCGGGGGCCUCGUCGAGCUGCUUCCGCGGCUCGAGGCCUCGGGUGCGGACAUGAAUUUCACCGGCGAUUUGACCGGUCUGAACGCGAUGCUGAUUAGCUGCAUGUCGAACACCGUUGCCUGCGUCGAGUACCUGAUAAACCGGGGAAUGGACCUGAACGCCGUCGAUGAAAGGACCGGGUACACGCCUCUGCACUUUGCAGCCUUCGGCAACGCUACUCAGGCCGCAACCCUCCUUCUCGACAAAGGCGCGAAGAUCCGUUGCACCGACUCGACGGUCGAGUCCGUUCUCCACUGCGCGAUCCGAGCUCGCGCUCUCGAGAUCGUCGCCCUGCUCCUGGAACGCGGCGCCAGCGUCGGGGCGCGUAAUCAAGCCGGUGAGACGCCCCUCCACGUCGCCUGCUUCGUCCAGUCGGUCCAGUGCGUCGACCUGAUCCUCCGGCGACCCGGCGUCGAGGUCAACGCCACAGCCAACGACCUCCGAACUCCGCUGCACUUCGCGGUGAUGAGCACGACUGCGGUGCCGGAGCUGAUCGCGCUCCUACUGACGCGAGGUGCGCUGGUCAACGCCGUCGACGAAGAUGGCUACACCCCGGUCCACAUCGCUGCCCUGAACGAGCUCGCGGAGCCCGUCAACGUCCUGCUAAAGGCCGGCGCGGACCUCAGCGCUAAGACCCGCUCCGGCAUCACGGUCCUCGGCGUUAUUCUCAGGAAGAUACCCGACGCCCUCGAGACCUUUCGACAGAUCCUCGACGCCUCCGUGGAGCUACGACGACCCGUCGCCUACCGCAGGGAGUUCGAACUCAGACUCGAUUUCGAGCCGCUCUACCCGAGCCGCGAUGACGACGAGAUCGGGCUCGUCGACACCAUCCUCGAGGAGCACCGAAAGGACCUGCUUCAACACCCGCUCGUCACCGCGUUCCUACAUCUCAAAUGGGAGAAGAUGCGAAAAUUUUAUCUCCUCCGGAUCAUCCUGUAUCUCAUUACCGUCAUAUCCCUCACCGCGUACGUUUUGUCCACCGUUACCGGACUCCAGUGCUACCAACCAGAGGCCCUCGACGCUGAUUACUGCUCGGGAAACUCCGUCUGGAUUAUCAUAUGGCGCAACGUGUUAACCACCGAGUAUUACCUCCUCACAUUCCUAGCCUGCUCAACCGCCGCGAGAAAACUCUUCGAGUUCUUCGUAUAUCACUCGGUUAAGCAGUACUUUUCAUACGCGGAUAAUAUCCUUGAUAUUUUUGUUGUAAUCGGACUUUUCGUUGCCACUACCACCUACGAUCUGGCCGGCGCAAGCUCCUGGCAGAACUACGUCUGGGCUUUCGCCAUCCUCUGCGCUUGGACCAACGUCAUGCUCAUGAUAGGGCAACUUCCAUCCUUCGGGAUCUACGUCGGGAUGUUUACCCAGGUACAGUGGGAGUUUGGUAAACUACUCAUCGCCUACUCCGGUGUGCUCAUCGGAUUCACGGUCAGUUUCUGCGUGAUAUUCGUCGGUGAUCCAUCGUUCUCCAAUCCCUUUACCGGGUUCAUAAAGGUCAUGGCGAUGAUGGCCGGCGAGGUCGAUUUCCAGGGACUCAUUCUGCCCAGUAACGCGUCCAGUGGCGGCUACUCCUACGUGUCGAUAGCUUCUCAGCUGCUAUUUGCGCUAUUUCUGUUCUUCGUUACGGUUGUAAUGAUGAACCUCCUCGUCGGUAUCGCCGUUCACGAUAUAACUGGACUGAGGAAAAACGCGGGGAUAACCAAGGUCAUACGACAGACAAAGCUCAUCGUCUUCGUAGAGACAGCGCUGCGGAAAAACGUCGUACCGCGGCGGUUCCGCGAGUGGAUAUUGAGCUCGGGAUCACAGAGUGGCAAGGAGCGAAAACACGUCCUCAUCGUCAAUCCCUUCAAUCCGCUCGAGAAGCGGUUACCAAAGGACAUACUUUACGCAGUUUACGAACUAGCGCAGCGCAACGCCCCCCUUGAAUCCGACGUCGCGCUCGAGGAAAGCGUAAAAAGAAACCGGAAGGAACCGACGAACGAUAUUUCCCGGCUUAAUUCCGUCAUCGCGAAGCUGUCGAAUAGGCUCCAAACUCACGAGGAGAAUAUCAACGCUAUAAAGGAACAGCUCGAACGAACCAACAAUGCUUUGGAGGAGAUUUUAUCGUUCGUCAAGCGCUCGGACGCCUGAGAUUUUCCUUCGCGCUUUGCGUCUUCUCCGUCGGCUACUUCACAUUCCAGCCGAAUAUCCAACUCCAGAGUCAUUUUUCCCCUCAUAUUUACGGGACUCAGCGGCUCCGUUGACGUCGUUGCUAACGUUUCUGGUGGCGGACAAUCCGGACAGGCGGGUGCAAUACGGUGGGGAAUAUCCUGGGCUCUCAGAAGCUUCGUA